rnacentral:rRNA from 1 species
GCAGGUGGCAAGCGUUGUCCGGAAUUAUUGGGCGUAAAGCGCGCGCAGGUGGUUCUUUAAGUCUGAUGUGAAAGUCCCCGGCUCAACCGGGGAGGGUCAUUGGAAACUGGGGAACUUGAGUGCAGGAGAGGAAAGUGGAAUUCCACGUGUAGCGGUGAAAUGCGUAGAUAUGUGGAGGAACACCAGUGGCGAAGGCGACUUUCUGGCCUGUAACUGACACUGAGGCGCGAAAGCGUGGGGAGCAAACAGGAUUAGAUACCCUGGUAGUCCACGCCGUAAACGAUGAGUGCUAAGUGUUGGGGGGUUUCCGCCCCUCAGUGCUGCAGCUAACGCAUUAAGCACUCCGCCUGGGGAGUACGGUCGCAAAGACUG